rnacentral:rRNA from 1 species
GUGCACCAGGCGCGAAUCUUCGGCAAUGGGCGCAGGCCUGACCGAGCGACGCCGCGUGCGGGAUGAAGGCCUUCGGGUUGUAAUCCGCUGUCAGAGGGGAGGAAAUGGCGGCCCUCAGGGUCGUCUUGACCAAACCUCAGAGGAAGGACGGGCUAAGUUCGUGCCAGCAGCCGCGGUAAGACGAACCGUCCAAACGUUAUUCGGAAUUACUGGGCUUAAAGGGUGCGUAGGCGGCCUGGCAAGUUGGGUGUGAAAGCCCUCGGCUCAACCGAGGAAUUGCGCCCAAAACUGCUAGGCUUGAGGGAGAUAGAGGUGAGCGGAACUUGGGGUGGAGCGGUGAAAUGCAUUGAUAUCCCAAGGAACACCAGAGGCGAAAGCGGCUCACUGGGUCUCUUCUGACGCUGAGGCACGAAAGCUAGGGGAGCGAACGGGAUUAGAUACCCUAGUAGUCC